UUUCCGUAGGUGAACCUGCGGAAGGAUCAUUAACACGUAUCCACGUAUCAACCCCUCUGUGCAAACUUAACCGUUAAUGGUUGGUCUUAGUCCUUCUGGUUCGUAUGGAUCUCAAUGAUGGAGAGUUAGCUUGCUGACUCUGAGGUCUGAACUGUCGGGCGUUUGACGAUCAGCCGAUAUUUUCCCAUCGUUAGCCAUCCCAAUUUUAUUAACCCCUUUGUACUUAUCUGUACUGAACCAAUUCCUUCGAGUUCUUCUCUUUCUUUUUGAGAGAUGAGCACGAAAGAUAUUACGAAACUAAAGAACAACUCUUAGCAACGGAUAUCUUGGUUCCC
rnacentral:misc_RNA from 1 species